rnacentral:sRNA from 1 species
UUAGUAGCUCUGGUGACUCAAAUGCCCAGUUUAGCUACAGAACAGGUAAUGUACAGACACAGCAGUGUAAGCUUCCCCUACGCUGCUCCACUGUAUCUCCACUCUCUCCUGGACAGACCCAUCUUUAGGGAUGAGAGGGAAGCUCAGUCUUCAUGAGUCAGUCGCAGUCUGCU